GCGCCCAUAGCUCAGCUGGAUAGAGUGACGGUUUGCGGUACCGUAGGUCGGAGGUUCGAGUCCUCCUGGGCGCGCCA
rnacentral:tRNA from 1 species